rnacentral:rRNA from 1 species
CACGUAGGGCGCAAGCGUUGUCCGGAAUUAUUGGGCGUAAAGAGCGUGUAGGCGGCCAGGUAGGUCUGCUGUGAAAACUCGAGGCUUAACCUCGAGCUGUCGGCGGAAACCAUCUGGCUAGAGUCCGGAAGAGGAGAAUGGAAUUCCCGGUGUAGCGGUGAAAUGCGCAGAUAUCGGGAAGAACACCCGUGGCGAAGGCGGUUCUCUGGGACGGUACUGACGCUGAGGUGCGAAAGCGUGGGGGAGCAAACAGG